UUGUUUAAAUUGUCACUGUAUGGAAUGUAAAAACAAAUAUUGUAAACAAAUACUGUUUUCAAUAAUUAAUAUGCCAUGAUAAUACUAACACCAUGUUCAAUGUAACUAACAAAAAGUUUUGCUAGUCUAUUCUGUUUAACGAUUUGUUUAAGUUGUAGGAACCUGUAUUUUUCGUAAUACGCAUUGACUGACACACUUGGGAAGUGGAUGUAUAAACACCACUAUACCUCCCCUUCAAUAGGUCACAGGAAACAUGCUAAAUUGAUUAAAUGACACCAGUGGCCUUAUGAUAUGGACAAUUAGUUUUGAAACACCAAUAUUAAUUAUACAGGGGAUUCUACCAUACACUUAGAAGGUUAUAAGAAAUGUUUUGUGGUUUACAAAAAUACAGUAACUUUCAAAAUAAAGAUCACUGUAUGCAGGUUAAAUUUGUGGAUAAUUUCAGCUCUGAAAAUGCAAGCCAAAGUGCUCUUAAUUCUUUUAAAAUCUAAAAAGGGGUCAGUUGUUAUAAGUGUGUAUUGAUUUUGUAUAACAUUCAAUGCACAAUUGUUACCUUAUUCAAGUAACCACCUAAUUCUGUGGCUUAUAGUUAAGAAAUAUGGAAAUGCAAAAAAAUUGUGUACCUAAUCUUAUAAGUAUUAUUGACAAUAGUCUUUUCAUCUUCAUGUAGAUAUAUCUUUACAAUUCUAUUGCAUAUAUAUUAUUUCAAAAAUAUUUUUUUUCUUUAAAGGUGCUUUUUACAGAGAUUGGUUUUAUAUUGGUGCUCUUAAUUUAUUCUGAAGUAUUUUGUUUUAAAGAAUACUGAUUGUUUGAUCAAAAGUUGUAGAAUACUAAUGCUUGAAAAACAGUUGUAUCUGCCAUCUGUAGACACUUUAUAUAAACGUCAUUGUAUUAAACAAGUACUGUUGCAGCUAUAUUUUAUUAUUUCUAGUGGUGUGACAGGUGCAGUAUUUGAUAGUUGAGUUCAAGACCAUGUCUGAAGUAUUAACAGAGACUGUCAAUUUUCCUUAAGAUCUGAGAACUUAUCAAGUCACUUGGUUCUGGUAAUGGGUGCAUAAAAUUUUGUUGACAUAAAAAAAUCACUGUGUCUUUUAAAUCAAUUUUAAUCAUAAAUGAAUUGCAAAUAUACUCUAAAAGACUAAAAUGUUAGUUGGUGAUAACUUGAGAUAUAACAAACCCUUAGUGGAAAUGUUUGCUUCCUUCAUCCAGGUGAAUUUGAGUAUAAAACCUAUAUUGAGGGUUGAAGAAUAUAAUGUGUGAAACUUUUUUUGCAUGUUUAUUAAUAUAACUAUAAGCCUUUAUAGCAUGAACCUAGUGAUGAGAAAUUAUAAACUUUGUUCUCGGACUAUAUCCUGCUACUCACCAAGGUUUACUCCUUCAGGUAGAAUAAUAGUGCUUUUUAGUACAUGUUGUCAGCACACUUAAUUGGUGUUCUGAGUUAAUUUUUAGGUUAUACUAAAGAAACUAGCAGUCAUUACAUUUGUUUAAAAAUACUAUUAAGAUACCGUUUAUAUUUAUGCCUCAGAAUUUUAGUUUUACCUAAUAUGCUGCCUAUCGUUUUAGGUAAAUCCCCAGUAUCUAAUAAUGUCUUUUUUUUAUAUCUAUUUCUUUUCUCAAAUCUACAUAACCUUGCUAUAUAUUAGGCAUGAAAAUCUAAUGGAUAAUUUAAUAUUUUUUUGCUUAUGACUGUAGCAAAACUAAACAGAAAAAGAUCAAUGUAAAGUGUGAUUAUAUUAGUGUAUUUUACACCAUAAUAUAAUCUGUUUUUCUACAUAUAGAUUAGUCUGUCUCUUAUUCCUGUAAAUAAUUGAUUUUGUUUCUGCUCUAUGUACAUUUUCAUCCAUGCAUUUUGUAAAGCAUUACUGACUUCCCAGUUCAAUUUCACUGCUUAUCAUGUACUUAGCUGAAUAAAUAAAAUAUUUAGAUCUACAUUAAA
rnacentral:sRNA from 1 species